GAUUAUUACCACCAUUCGGAACAUGGUGGGUUAGCGCGCGUCGGAUCAUCGCUGCAUCAACCCGCCAAAGGCGGGUUUU
rnacentral:sRNA from 1 species